UACGUAGGGUGCGAGCGUUAAUCGGAAUUACUGGGCGUAAAGCGUGCGCAGGCGGUUCGUCGUGUCCGAUGUGAAAGCCCCGGGCUCAACCUGGGAAUGGCAUUGGAAACUGGCGGACUCGAGUGUGGCAGAGGGGGGUGGAAUUCCGCGUGUAGCAGUGAAAUGCGUAGAGAUGCGGAGGAACACCGAUGGCGAAGGCAGCCCCCUGGGCUAACACUGACGCUCAGGCACGAAAGCGUGGGGAGCAAACAGGG
rnacentral:rRNA from 1 species